GAUGAACGCUGGCUGCGUGCCUAAUACAUGCAAGUCGAGCGAACGGACGAGAAGCUUGCUUCUCUGAUGUUAGCGGCGGACGGGUGAGUAACACGUGGAUAACCUACCUAUAAGACUGGGAUAACUUCGGGAAACCGGAGCUAAUACCGGAUAAUAUUUUGAACCGCAUGGUUCAAAAGUGAAAGACGGUCUUGCUGUCACUUAUAGAUGGAUCCGCGCUGCAUUAGCUAGUUGGUAAGGUAACGGCUUACCAAGGCAACGAUGCAUAGCCGACCUGAGAGGGUGAUCGGCCACACUGGAACUGAGACACGGUCCAGACUCCUACGGGAGGCAGCAGUAGGGAAUCUUCCGCAAUGGGCGAAAGCCUGACGGAGCGACGCCGCGUGAGUGAUGAAGGUCUUCGGAUCGUAAAACUCUGUUAUUAGGGAAGAACAUAUGUGUAAGUAACUGUGCACAUCUUGACGGUACCUAAUCAGAAAGCCACGGCUAACUACGUGCCAGCAGCCGCGGUAAUACGUAGGUGGCAAGCGUUAUCCGGAAUUAUUGGGCGUAAAGCGCGCGUAGGCGGUUUUUUAAGUCUGAUGUGAAAGCUCACGGCUCAACCGUGGAGGGUCAUUGGAAACUGGAAAACUUGAGUGCAGAAGAGGAAAGUGGAAUUCCAUGUGUAGCGGUGAAAUGCGCAGAGAUAUGGAGGAACACCAGUGGCGAAGGCGACUUUCUGGUCUGUAACUGACGCUGAUGUGCGAAAGCGUGGGGAUCAAACAGGAUUAGAUACCCUGGUAGUCCACGCCGUAAACGAUGAGUGCUAAGUGUUAGGGGGUUUCCGCCCCUUAGUGCUGCAGCUAACGCAUUAAGCACUCCGCCUGGGGAGUACGACCGCAAGGUUGAAACUCAAAGGAAUUGACGGGGACCCGCACAAGCGGUGGAGCAUGUGGUUUAAUUCGAAGCAACGCGAAGAACCUUACCAAAUCUUGACAUCCUUUGACAACUCUAGAGAUAGAGCCUUCCCCUUCGGGGGACAAAGUGACAGGUGGUGCAUGGUUGUCGUCAGCUCGUGUCGUGAGAUGUUGGGUUAAGUCCCGCAACGAGCGCAACCCUUAAGCUUAGUUGCCAUCAUUAAGUUGGGCACUCUAAGUUGACUGCCGGUGACAAACCGGAGGAAGGUGGGGAUGACGUCAAAUCAUCAUGCCCCUUAUGAUUUGGGCUACACACGUGCUACAAUGGACAAUACAAAGGGCAGCGAAACCGCGAGGUCAAGCAAAUCCCAUAAAGUUGUUCUCAGUUCGGAUUGUAGUCUGCAACUCGACUACAUGAAGCUGGAAUCGCUAGUAAUCGUAGAUCAGCAUGCUACGGUGAAUACGUUCCCGGGUCU
rnacentral:rRNA from 1 species